rnacentral:rRNA from 1 species
GAUGAACGCUGGCGGCGUGCCUAAUACAUGCAAGUCGAGCGAACGGACGAGACGCUUGCUUUUCUGAUGUUAGCGGCGGACGGGUGAGUAACACGUGGAUAACCCACCUAUAUGACUGGGAUAACUUCGGGAAACCGGAGCUAAUACCGGAUAAUAUUUUGAACCGCAUGGUUCAAAAGUGAAAGACGGUCUUGCUGUCACUUAUAGAUGGAUCCGCGCUGCAUUAGCUAGUUGGUAGGGUAACGGCUUACCAAGGCAACGAUGCAUAGCCGACCUGAGAGGGGGAUCGGCCACACUAGAACGGAGACGCGGUCCAGAGUCCUACGGGAGGCAGCAGUAGGGAAUCGUCCGCAAUAGGCGAAAGCCUGACGGAACGGCGCCGCGUGAGUGAUGACGGUCUUCGGAUCGUAAAACUCUGUUAUGAGGGAAGAACAUAUGUGUAUGUAAAUGAGCAGAUCGUGACGGUACCUAAUCAGAAAGCCACGGCUAACUACGUG